rnacentral:rRNA from 1 species
GAUGAACGCUGGCGGCGUGCUUAACACAUGCAAGUCGAGCGAGAAGUUUUGAAAAGAUUCUUCGGAUGAAAUUUAAAAUGGAAAGCGGCGGACGGGUGAGUAACGCGUAGGCAACCUGCCCCAUACAAAGGGAUAGCAUUUGGAAACGAAUAUUAAUACCUUAUGAAACUUAACUAGUGCAUGCUAGGUAGGUCAAAGAUUUAUCGGUAUGGGAUGGGCCUGCGUCUGAUUAGCUAGUUGGUGAGGUAACGGCUCACCAAGGCGACGAUCAGUAGCCGACCUGAGAGGGUGAACGGCCACAUUGGAACUGAGACACGGUCCAAACUCCUACGGGAGGCAGCAGUGGGGAAUAUUGCACAAUGGGGGAAACCCUGGUGCAGCAACGCCGCGUGAACGAGGAAGGCCUUUGGGUCGGAAAGUUCUGUUCUAGGUGAGGAAAACUGACAGUAACCUAGGAGAAAGCCCCGGCUAACUCCGUG